AAGUGGCCGAGCGGCGAAAGCGCCUGACUGUAAAUCAGGUACACGGAAACAUCGGGGGUUCGAGUCCCUCCUUGC
rnacentral:tRNA from 1 species